CUUAAUUGGGCGUUAAGUUGCAGGGUAUAGACCCGAAACCCGGUGAUCUAGCCAUGGGCAGGUUGAAGGUUGGGUAACACUAACUGGAGGACCGAACCGACUAAUGUUGAAAAAUUAGCGGAUGACCUGUGGCUGGGGGUGAAAGGCCAAUCAAACCGGGAGAUAGCUGGUUCUCCCCGAAAGCUAUUUAGGUAGCGCCUCGUGAAUUCAUCUCCGGGGGUAGAGCACUGUUUCGGCUAGGGGGCCAUCCCGGCUUACCAACCCGAUGCAAACUGCGAAUACCGGAGAAUGUUAUCACGGGAGACACACGGCGGGUGCUAACGUCCGUCGUGAAGAGGGAAACAACCCAGACCGCCAGCUAAGGUCCCAAAGUCAUGGUUAAGUGGGAAACGAUGUGGGAAGGCCCAGACAGCCAGGAUGUUGGCUUAGAAGCAGCCAUCAUUUAAAGAAAGCGUAAUAGCUCACUGGUCGAGUCGGCCUGCGCGGAAGAUGUAACGGGGCUAAACCAUGCACCGAAGCUGCGGCAGCGAACGUAUCACUUAAAGCGAUUCAGCGGGUUACGAUUGACGGAGCGAAGCGACGUCAAAGCGUAUACAAAGUCGAGUCGGUUUAAGGAUACGUUCGUUGGGUAGGGGAGCGUUCUGUAAGCCUGUGAAGGUGUGUCGUGAGGCAUGCUGGAGGUAUCAGAAGUGCGAAUGCUGACAUAAGUAACGAUAAAGCGGGUGAAAAGCCCGCUCGCCGGAAGACCAAGGGUUCCUGUCCAACGUUAAUCGGGGCAGGGUGAGUCGACCCCUAAGGCGAGGCCGAAAGGCGUAGUCGAUGGGAAACGGGUUAAUAUUCCCGUACUUGGUGUUACUGCGAAGGGGGGACGGAGAAGGCUAUGUUGGCCGGGCGACGGUUGUCCCGGUUUAAGCGUGUAGGUGUGUGUUCCAGGUAAAUCCGGUUCACUUUAACACUGAGGCGUGACGACGAGGCACUACGGUGCUGAAGCAACAAAUGCCCUGCUUCCAGGAAAAGCCUCUAAGCAUCAGGUAACAUCAAAUCGUACCCCAAACCGACACAGGUGGUCAGGUAGAGAAUACCAAGGCGCUUGAGAGAACUCGGGUGAAGGAACUAGGCAAAAUGGUGCCGUAACUUCGGGAGAAGGCACGCUGACACGUAGGUGAAGUGAUUUACUCAUGGAGCUGAAGUCAGUCGAAGAUACCAGCUGGCUGCAACUGUUUAUUAAAAACACAGCACUGUGCAAACACGAAAGUGGACGUAUACGGUGUGACGCCUGCCCGGUGCCGGAAGGUUAAUUGAUGGGGUCAGCGCAAGCGAAGCUCCUGAUCGAAGCCCCGGUAAACGGCGGCCGUAACUAUAACGGUCCUAAGGUAGCGAAAUUCCUUGUCGGGUAAGUUCCGACCUGCACGAAUGGCGUAAUGAUGGCCAGGCUGUCUCCACCCGAGACUCAGUGAAAUUGAACUCGCUGUGAAGAUGCAGUGUACCCGCGGCAAGACGGAAAGACCCCGUGAACCUUUACUAUAGCUUGACACUGAACAUUGAGCCUUGAUGUGUAG
rnacentral:rRNA from 1 species